AUGGAUGGAGUUGACAAGAACAGUUUGGAUUGGAGGCUAGCCAGUAGCCACACUAUAAACCCUCCACACCACCGUGCCGUCCCAUCCAUGUACCUAGGACCAGGAACCAUUCUGUACAACUACUUCCUCCACAUCCGAGAGGAUGUCGUUCUCGAGGAAUGCCGAGUGGAGGGGUUCUCAUGGAGCACCAAGGAGAUGUUCACCUGCUUAUGGACAUUUAAAAAUUUCCAUUCCCUUUGUGAAUCAAGAUUAUUAAAAACAAGUUUACCAUUUGCCAUGUGCAGAAAAAAAAUCAUACUCAACCAAGAAACCAAUGAGAGAUGA
rnacentral:rRNA from 1 species